rnacentral:rRNA from 1 species
GACGAACGCUGGCGGCGCGCUUAACACAUGCAAGUCGAGCGAGAACCAGGGCUUCGGCCCUGGGGACAGCGGCGAACGGGUGAGUAACACGUGGGUAAUCUGCCCUCGGCACCGGAAUAGCCCGGGGAAACCCGGAUUAAUGCCGGAUGGCCCCUUCACCUCGCGAGGUGUCGGGAAAAGGUAGCUUCGGCCUCUGGCCGAGGAUGAGCCCGCGGCGGAUUAGCUUGUUGGCGGGGUAACGGCCCACCAAGGGGACGAUCCGUAGCUGGUCUGAGAGGACGAUCAGCCACACUGGGACUGAGACACGGCCCAGACUCCUACGGGAGGCAGCAGUGGGGAAUCUUGCGCAAUGGGCGAAAGCCUGACGCAGCGACGCCGCGUGAGGGAAGACGGCCUUCGGGUUGUAAACCUCUUUCAGGAGGGACGAAGCUACUCGGGUGAAUAGCCCAGAGGGUGACGGUACCUCCAGAAGAAGCCCCGGCUAACUACGUGCCAGCCGCCGCGGUAAGAC